AAUGUAAUGCCUUCACCAGGAAGUUUGUCCAUCAAAGAAAGGCCACUUCGAGCCAGAACCCUUCUUACAAGAGAGAAGCCAUUAGAAUGGACUCCACUAGAUGGCAAACCAAUGAGAGCGUCCCCAGCAUCAAUGUUUUUCCCAUCAAUUACUGAGUCCUUCUUAACAAUGCCAACCGCAAAACCACUGAGGUCAUACUCACCAUCUGCAUAGAAAUCUGGCAUCUCUGCAGUCUCUCCCCCUAAAAGAGUGCAGUCAGAUUGUUGGCAUCCAUCAACAAUGCCUUUUAUGACCUUUUCUGCAAGGUCAACAUCAAGGCGGCUUGUAGCAAAAUAAUCAAGGAAAAAUAGUGGUUUUGCACCAGAAGUAACAAUAUCAUUGACACUCAUUGCAACCAGAUCAAUUCCAAUAGUUUCAUGAAUUCCAGUUUCAAAUGCAAGUUUAAGUUUAGUUCCUACUCCAUCUGUGCCAGCAACAAGGUAUGAAUCACCAAGAGGGAAAAGACCCCCAAAUCCUCCAAUUCCAGGUGCCAUCUGUGCAAUUCUCCUGACAAGUUCAGAGCCAGCAUCUAUAUCCACACCCGCAUCCUUAUACGUAAGCCCUCCAGCCCCAUCAGCGCUUGUACUGUCACUUUCCUUGGACAUGGAAAAUACAACGCUCUUGCUUGUGGCGGGCGCAGAUAGGAGCGGAAAUCCCCAGGAUAAGCAGUUAAAUGUGCAACCACGUACAAUGGAUAGGGUGGCUCUGGGUUUAAUAGAAGAGGGUCUGAUCGACGCCGUGAAAACACGCAAUAUCUCUGCGUUUGCCGCGACGUUGGUGGUCAUCGCUACCAAGGAGUGAGAAUAAAGGCGGGUUGUGGAGAGAGAGAGAG
rnacentral:misc_RNA from 1 species